UACGGAGGGUGCAAGCGUUAUCCGGAUUCACUGGGUUUAAAGGGUGCGUAGGUGGGCUGGUAAGUCAGUGGUGAAAUCUCCAGGCUUAACUUGGAGACUGCCAUUGAUACUAUCAGUCUUGAAUACCGUGGAGGUCAGCGGAAUAUGUCAUGUAGCGGUGAAAUGCUUAGAUAUGACAUAGAACACCAAUUGCGAAGGCAGCUGGCUACACGAAUAUUGACACUGAUGCACGAAAGCGUGGGGAUCAAACAGG
rnacentral:rRNA from 1 species